AGAGUUUGAUCCUGGCUCAGGACGAACGCUGGCGGUGUGCUUCACACAUGCAAGUCGAACGAGGUAGCAAUACCUAGUGGCGGACGGGUGAGUAACGCGUGGGAAUCUGCCCUUGGGUAGGGGAUAGCAGGCCGAAAGGCCUAUUAAUACCGUAUAUGCCGUGAGGUAAAAGGAGUAAUCCGCCCGAGGAUGAGCCUGCGUCCGAUUAGCUAGUUGGUGGGGUAAAAGCCUACCAAGGCUACGAUCGGUAGCUGGUCUGAGAGGAUGAUCAGCCACAAUGGGACUGAGACACGGCCCAUACUCCUACGGGAGGCAGCAGUGGGGAAUUUUACGCAAUGGGGGAAACCCUGACGUAGCGACACCGCGUGAGCGAAGAAGCCUUUUGGGGUGUAAAGCUCUGUCAGCAGGAACGAAUAAAUGACGGUACCUGCAGAGGAAGCAUCGGCUAACUACGUGCCAGCAGCCGCGGUAAGACGUAGGAUGCGAGCGUUGUCCGGAUUCAUUGGGCGUAAAGAGUUCGUAGGCGGUUUGUUAAGUCUGAUGUUAAAGAUCAGGGCCCAACCCUGGGAGUGCAUUGGAUACUGGCAGACUUGAGUACAGUAGAGGCGAGUGGAAUUCCCAGUGUAGCGGUGAAAUGCGUAGA
rnacentral:rRNA from 1 species